rnacentral:rRNA from 1 species
CCUACGGGUUGCAGCAGUAGGGAAUAUUGGGCAAUGGCCGCGAGGCUGACCCAGCCAUGCCGCGUGCAGGAGGAAGGCCUUCUGGGUUGUAAACUGCUUUUGUAUGGGAAGAAAACGCCCCUGCGGGGGUAACUGACGGUACCAUACGAAUAAGCACCGGCUAACUCCGUGCCAGCAGCCGCGGUAAUACGGAGGGUGCAAGCGUUGUCCGGAUUUAUUGGGUUUAAAGGGUGCGUAGGCGGCCCGUUAAGUCAGCGGUGAAAUCCCAGGGCUCAACCCUGGAACUGCCGUUGAUACUGGCGGGCUUGAGUUCGGUGAAGGCGGGCGGAACUGGCGGUGUAGCGGUGAAAUGCUUAGAUACCGCCAAGAACCCCGAUUGCGUAGGCAGCUCGCUGUGCCGAAACUGACGCUGAGGCACGAAAGCGUGGGGAGCGAACAGGAUUAGAUACCCUGGUAGUC